GACGAACGCUGGCGGCGUGCUUAACACAUGCAAGUCGAACGGAAAGGCCCUGCUUGCAGGGUACUCGAGUGGCGAACGGGUGAGUAACACGUGGGUGAUCUGCCCUGCACCUCGGGAUAAGCCUGGGAAACUGGGUCUAAUACCGGAUAGGAGCCAUUUUUAGUGUGAUGGUUGGAAAGUUUUUUCGGUGUAGGAUGAGCUCGCGGCCUAUCAGCUUGUUGGUGGGGUAAUGGCCUACCAAGGCGGCGACGGGUAGCCGGCCUGGGAGGGUGGACGGCCACAUUGGGAGUGAGAUUCGGCCCAGACUCCUACGGGGAGCAGCAGUGGGGAAUAUUGCAAAAUGGGCGAAAGCCUGAUGCAGCGACGCCGGGUGGGGGAUGACGGCCUUCGGGUUGUAAACUCCUUUCGCUAGGGACGAAGCUUUUUGUGACGGUACCUAGAUAAGAAGCACCGGCUAACUACGUG
rnacentral:rRNA from 1 species